CCGGGCGCGGCUGCGGGCCUUGCGAGCCCCCCUGCCUCUGCGGCCUAGCGCCCGGCGCCGCCUGCCGCGUCAACUGCUCGGGCCGCGGGCCGCGGGCUGCGGACGCUCGGUCCCGCGCUGCGCAUCCCCGCGGACGCCACAGCGCUAGACGUCUCCCACAACCUGCUCCGGGCGCUGGACGUUGGGCUCCUGGCGAACCUCUCGGCGCUGGCAGAGCUGGAUAUAAGCAACAACAAGAUUUCUACGUUAGAAGAAGGAAUAUUUGCUAAUUUAUUUAAUUUAAGUGAAAUAAACCUGAGUGGGAACCCGUUUGAGUGUGACUGUGGCCUGGCGUGGCUGCCGCGAUGGGCGGAGGAGCAGCAGGUGCGGGUGGUGCAGCCCGAGGCAGCCACGUGUGCUGGGCCUGGCUCCCUGGCUGGCCAGCCUCUGCUUGGCAUCCCCUUGCUGGACAGUGGCUGUGGUGAGGAGUAUGUCGCCUGCCUCCCUGACAACAGCUCAGGCACCGUGGCAGCAGUGUCCUUUUCAGCUGCCCACGAAGGCCUGCUUCAGCCAGAGGCCUGCAGCGCCUUCUGCUUCUCCACCGGCCAGGGCCUCGCAGCCCUCUCGGAGCAGGGCUGGUGCCUGUGUGGGGCGGCCCAGCCCUCCAGUGCCUCCUUCGCCUGCCUGUCCCUCUGCUCCGGCCCCCUGCCGCCUCCUGCCCCCACCUGUAGGAGCCCCACCCUCCUCCAGCACGUCUUCCCUGCCUCCCCAGGGGCCGCCCUGGUGGGGCCCCACGGACCCCUGGCCUCCGGCCAGCUAGCAGCCUUCCACAUCGCUGCCCCGCUCCCUGUCACUGCCACAUGCUGGGACUUUGGAGACGGCUCCCCCGAGGUGGAUGCCGCUGGGCCGGCUGCCUCGCAUCGCUAUGUGCUGCCUGGGCGCUAUCACGUGACGGCCGUGCUGGCCCUGGGGACCGGCUCAGCCCUGCUGGGGACAGACGUGCAGGUGGAAGCGGCACCUGCCGCCCUGAAGCUCGUGUGCCCGUCCUCGGUGCAGAGUGACGAGAGCCUCGACCUCAGCAUCCAGAACCGCGGUGGUUCAGGCCUGGAGGCCGCCUACAGCAUCGUGGCCCUGGGCGAGGAGCCGGCCCGAGCGGUGCACCCGCUCUGCCCCUCGGACACGGAGAUCUUCUCUGGCAAUGGGCACUGCUACCGCCUGGUGGUGGAGAAGGCGGCCUGGCUGCAGGCGCAGGAGCAGUGUCGGGCCUGGGCCGGGGCCACCCUGGCAAUGGUGGACAGUCCCGCCGUGCAGCGCUUCCUGGUCUCCCGGGUCACCAGGAGCCUAGACAUGUGGAUCGGCUUCUCGACUGUGCAGGGGGUGGAGGUGGGCCCAGCGCCGCAGGGCGAGGCCUUCAGCCUGGAGAGCUGCCAGAACUGGCUGCCCGGGGAGCCACACCCAGCCACAGCUGAGCACUGCGUCCGGCUCGGGCCCACCGGGUGGUGUAACACCGACCUGUGCUCAGCGCCGCACAGCUACGUCUGCGAGCUGCGGCCUGGAGGCCCAGUGCAGGAUGCCGAGAACCUCCUCGUGGGAGCGCCCAGUGGGGACCUGUAGGGACCCCUGAUGCCUCUGGCACGGCAGUACGGCCUCUCAGCCCCGCACGAGCCCCUGGAGGUCAUGGUAUUCCCGGGCCUGCGUCUGAGCCGUGAAGCCUUCCUCACCACGGCCGAAUUUGGGACCCAGGAGCUCCGGCGGCCCGCCCAGCUGCGGCUGCAGGUGUACCGGCUCCUCAGCACAGCAGGGACCCCGGAGAACGGCAGCGAGCCUGAGAGCAGGUCCCCGGACAACAGGACCCAGCUGGUCCCCGCGUGCAUGCCAGGGGGACGCUGGUGCCCUGGAGCCAACAUCUGCUUGCCGCUGGACGCCUCCUGCCACCCCCAGGCCUGCGCCAAUGGCUGCACGUCAGGGCCAGGGCUACUCGGGUCCCCCUAUGCGCUAUGGAGAGAGUUCCUCUUCUCCGUUCCCGCGGGGCCCCCCGCGCAGUACUCGGUCACCCUCCACGGCCAGGAUGUCCUCAUGCUCCCUGGUGACCUCGUUGGCUUGCAGCACGACGCUGGCCCUGGCGCCCUCCCGCACUGCUCGCCGGCUCCCGGCCACCCUGGUCCCCAGGCCCCGUACCUCUCCGCCAACGCCUCGUCAUGGCUGCCCCACUUGCCAGCCCAGCUGGAGGGCACUUGGGCCUGCCCUGCCUGUGCCCUGCGGCUGCUUGCAGCCACGGAACAGCUCACCGUGCUGCUGGGCCUGAGGCCCAACCCUGGGCUGCGGCUGCCUGGGCGCUAUGAGGUCCGGGCAGAGGUGGGCAAUGGCGUGUCCAGGCACAACCUGUCCUGCAGCUUUGACGUGGUCUCCCCAGUGGCUGGGCUGCGGGUCAUCUACCCUGCCCCCCGCGACGGCCGCCUCUACGUGCCCACCAACGGCUCAGCCUCGGUGCUCCAGGUGGACUCUGGUGCCAGCGCCACGGCCACGGCUUGCUGGCCUGGGGGCAGUGUCAGCGCCCGCUUUGAGAAUGCCUGCCCUGCCCUGGUGGCCACCUUCGUGCCCGGCUGCCCCUGGGAGACCAAUGAUACCCUGUUCUCAGUGGUAGCACUGCCGUGGCUCGGUGAGGGGGAGCACGUGAUGGACGUUGUGGUGGAAAACAGCGCCAGCCGGGCCAACCUCAGCCUGCGGGUGACGGCGGAGGAGCCCAUCUGUGGCCUCCGCGCCACGCCCAGCCCCGAGGCCCGUGUACUGCAGGGAGUCCCAGUGAGGUACAGCCCCGUGGUGGAGGCCGGCUCGGACAUGGUCUUCUGGUGGACCAUCAACGACAAGCAGUCCCUGACCUUCCAGAACGUGGUCUUCAAUGUCAUUUAUCAGAGCGCGGCGGUCUUCAAGCUCUCACUGACGGCCUCCAACCACGUGAGCAACGUCACCGUGAACUACAACAUCACCGUGGAGCGGAUGAACAGGAUGCAGGGCCUGCGGGUCUCUACAGUGCCAGCCGUGCUGUCCCCCAAUGCCACGCUGGCACUGACGGCGGGCGUGCUGGUGGACUCGGCCGUGGAGGUGGCCUUCCUGUGGACCUUUGGGGAUGGGGAGCAGGCCCUCCACCAGUUCCAGCCUCCAUACAACGAGUCCUUCCCGGUUCCAGACCCCUCGGUGGCCCAGGUGCUGGUGGAGCACAAUGUCACCCACACCUACGCUGCCCCAGGUGCUGAUCCGCAGUGGCCGGGUGCCCAUUGUGUCCUUGGAGUGUGUGUCCUGCAAGGCACAGGCCGUGUACGAAGUGAGCCGCAGCUCCUACGUGUACCUGGAGGGCCGCUGCCUCAAUUGCAGCAGCGGCUCCAAGCGAGGGCGGUGGGCUGCACGUACGUUCAGCAACAAGACGCUGGUGCUGGAUGAGACCACCACAUCCACGGGCAGCGCAGGCAUGUGACUGGUGCUGCGGCGGGGCGUGCUGCGGGACGGCGAGGGAUACACCUUCACGCUGACGGUGCUGGGCCGCUCUGGCGAGGAGGAGGGCUGCGCCUCCAUCCCCCUGUCCCCCAACCGCCCGCCGCUGGGGGGCUCUUGCCGCCUCUUCCCACUGGGCGCUGUGCACGCUCUCACCACCAAGGUGCACUUCGAAUGCAUGGGCUGGCAUGACGCGGAGGAUGCUGGCGCCCCGCUGGUGUACGCCCUGCUGCUGCAGCGCUGUCGCCAGGGCCACUGCGAGGAGUUCUGUGUCUACAAGGGCAGCCUCUCCGGCUACGGAGCCGUGCUGCCCCCGGGUUUCAGGCCACACUUCGAGGUGGGCCUGGCCGUGGUGGUGCAGGACCAGCUGGGAGCCGCUGUGGUCGCCCUCAACAGGUCUCUGGCCAUCACCCUCCCAGAGCCCAACGGCAGCGCAAUGGGGCUCACAGUCUGGCUGCACGGGCUCACCGCUAGUGUGCUCCCGGGGCUGCUGCGGCAGGCCGAUCCCCAGCACGUCAUCGAGUACUCGCUGGCCCUGGUCACUGUGCUGAACGAGUACGAGCGGGCCCUGGACGUGGCGGCAGAGCCCAAGCACGAGCGGCAGCGCCGAGCCCAGAUACGCAAGAACAUCACGGAGACUCUGGUGUCCCUGAGGGUCCACACUGUGGAUGACAUCCAGCAGAUCGCUGCUGCGCUGGCCCAGUGCAUGGGGCCCAGCAGGGAGCUCGUAUGCCGCUCGUGCCUGAAGCAGACGCUGCACAAGCUGGAGGCCAUGAUGCGCAUCCUGCAGGCAGAGACCACCGCGGGCACCGUGACGCCCACCGCCAUCGGAGACAGCAUCCUCAACAUCACAGGAGACCUCAUCCACCUGGCCAGCUCAGACGUGCGGGCACCACAGCGCUCAGAGCUGGGAGCCGAGUCACCAUCGCGGAUGGUGGCGUCCCAGGCCUACAACCUGACCUCUGCCCUCACGCCCAUCCUCACGCGCUCCCGCGUGCUCAACGAGGAGCCCCUGACGCUGGCGGGCUUUCAGCAGGGCCCCGGCCAACCUCAGUGACGUGGUGCAGCUCAUCUUUCUGGUGGACUCCAAUCCCUUUCCCUUUGGCUAUAUCAGCAACUACACCGUCUCCACCAAGGUGGCCUCGAUGGCGUUCCAGACACAGGCCGGCGCCCAGAUCCCCAUCGAGCGGCUGGCCUCAGAGCGCGCCUCACCGUGAAGGCCGCUACCUGUCUGAGGAACCCGAGCCCUACCUGGCAGUCUACCUGCACUCGGAGCCCCGGCCCAAUGAGCGCAACUGCUCGGCUAGCAGGAGGAUCCGCCCAGAGUCCCUCCAGGGUGCCGACCACCGGCCCUACACCUUCUUCAUUUCCCCGGGGACCAGAGACCCAGUGGGGAGUUACCGUCUGAACCUCUCCAGUCACUUCCGCUGGUCGGCGCUGGAGGUGUCCGUGGGCUUGUACACGUCCCUGUGCCAGUACUUCAGCGAGGAGGACGUGGUGUGGCGGACAGAGGGGCUGCUGCCCCUGGAGGAGACCUCGCCCCGCCAGGCCGUCUGCCUCACCCGCCACCUCACCGCCUUCGGCACCAGCCUCUUCGUGCCCCCAAGCCAUAUCCGCUUUGUGUUUCCUGAGCCAACAGCGGAUGUAAACUACAUCGUCAUGCUGACAUGUGCUGUGUGCCUGGUGACCUACAUGGUCAUGGCCGCCAUCCUGCACAAGCUGGACCAGUUGGAUGCCAGCCGGGGCCGCGCCAUCCCCUUCUGUGGGCAGCGGGGCCGCUUCAAGUACGAGAUCCUCGUCAAGACAGGCUGGGGCCGGGGCUCAGGUACCACGGCCCACGUGGGCAUCAUGCUGUAUGGGGUGGACAGCCGGAGCGGCCACCGGCACCUGGACGGCGACAGAGCCUUCCACCGCAACAGUCUGGACAUCUUCCAGAUCGCCACCCCGCACAGCCUGGGUAGCGUGUGGAAGAUCCGAGUGUGGCACGACAACAAAGGGCUCAGCCCUGCCCGGUUCCUGCAGCACAUCAUCGUCAGGGACCUGCAGACGGCACGCAGCACCUUCUUCCUGGUCAAUGACUGGCUUUCGGUGGAGACGGAGGCCAACGGGGGCCUGGUGGAGAAGGAGGUGCUGGCCGCGAGUCACGCAGCCCUGUUGCGCUUCCGGCGCCUGCUGGUGGCUGAGCUGCAGCGUGGCUUCUUUGACAAGCACAUCUGGCUCUCCAUAUGGGACCGGCCGCCUCGUAGCUAUUUCACUCACAUCCAGAGGGCCACCUGCUGCGUUCUCCUCAUCUGUCUCUUCCUGGGCGCCAACGCCGUGUGGUACGGGGCUGUUGGAGACUCUGCCUACAGCACGGGGCGUGUGUCCAGGCUGAACCCGCUGAGCGUCGACACAGUCGCUGUUGGCCUGGUGUCCAGCGUGGUUGUCUAUCCCGUCUACCUGGCCAUCCUCUUUCUCUUCCGGAUGUCCCGGAGCAAGGUGGCUGGGAGCCCGAGCCCCACACCUGCCGGGCAGCAGGUGCUGGACGUCGACAGCUGCCUGGACUCAUCCGUGCUGGACAGCUCCUUCCUCACGUUCUGAGGCCUCCACGCUGAGGUGAGGGCUCUACUGGGGGUCCUGCCGCCUUGGCGCAGCUUGGACUCAAGACCCUGUGCACCUCUCAGCAGGCCUUUGCUGGACAGAUGAAGAGUGACUUGUUUCUGGAUGAUUCUAAGAGUGACCUUGAGGAACCCUGGGAGCUCAGGAAGGAAGGAGCGCCCAGAAGCAGGGACAGGGAGCUGGUUGGGGAGGACCAGAAAUCAGGUUAUCAAUACUCUGGCUGACCAUCGUCAUCGUGGGACUGACUUUGGUGGAAGUCCUUGGUUACUUAUCAUUACUGUGUUUCUGAGAAGUUAUAAAUUUGCCAUCUCCCUCUGCACAAGUUACCUUUGUGUGUCUUUCCUGAAGACUAUCUUCCCGUCUCAAAAUGGACAUGAUGGAUCCACGGAUGUACAGCAGAGAGCCAGGAGGUCCAACCGCCGUAGACAGGAAGGAAUUAAAAUUGUCCUGGAAGACAUCUUUACUUUAUGGAGACAGGUGGAAACCAAAGUUCGAGCUAAAAUCCGUAAGAUGAAGGUGACAACAAAAGUCAACCGUCAUGACAAAAUCAAUGGAAAGAGGAAGACCGCCAAAGAACAUCUGAGGAAACUAAGCAUGAAAGAACGUGAGCACGGAGAAAAGGAGAGGCAGGUGUCAGAGGCAGAGGAAAAUGGGAAAUUGGAUAUGAAAGAAAUACACACCUACAUGGAAAUGUUUCAACGUGCGCAAGCGUUGCGGCGGCGGGCAGAGGACUACUACAGAUGCAAAAUCACCCCUUCUGCAAGAAAGCCUCUUUGCAACCGGUGCACUUACAAUUUGGUAUUACCUGGGAGUGAAAAGAAAUAUUACAGCCAUGCCUAACUGACUUCUUGAGGUCAGAAUGGCGGCAGUGGAGCAUCGUCAUUCUUCAGGAUUGCCCUACUGGCCCUACCUCACAGCUGAAACUUUAAAAAACAGGAUGGGCCACCAGCCACCUCCUCCAACUCAACAACAUUCUAUAAUUGAUAACUCCCUGAGCCUCAAGACACCUUCCGAGUGUCUGCUCACUCCCCUUCCACCCUCAGCUCUACCCUCAGCGGAUGAUAAUCUCAAGACACCUGCGGAGUGUCUGCUCUAUCCCCUUCCACCCUCAGCGGAUGAUAAUCUCAAGACACCUCCCGAGUGUCUGCUCACUCCCCUUCCACCCUCAGCUCCACCCUCAGUGGAUGAUAAUCUCAAGACACCUCCCGAGUGUGUCUGCUCACUCCCCUUCCACCCUCAGCGGAUGAUAAUCUCAAGAAACUAAGGAAGAAUAAAUAAAUAAUAUAAAAAUAAAAUGAA